UAUCAACAAAUUCUGCAUUUUUUCAGUGCACUAUGUACUCGUUUUUAAAAAUGGAUAACAAUAGAAAUUUUGAAAAACACAUUACACCAUAGCAUUAAAACUUAGUUUUCCCUUUCUCGCAACAAAUUAGAAGACUUUUUUAGCAGAGACAGCCCUGAGCUGUACAAAGACUUGUUGACAGACUGAGCUGGAAACGGGGCCAUAUGCUAAUUUUUUCCCAUAAAAGCGAUCUCCAUAAAGCCGUUCCUCAACUGACCGCAAUGGAGCGGCAAAAAGAUCCGACAAAAAGGGGGGAUGGGAUCUGGAACAAUAGCUGAUGUGCACAAAAUGUUCGGCAACUCAUUUAUCUUGUAUCCACUUUCAUAGUUGCUCGUCGGCGGCCUUUCACCACUGAGAGUUCAACUUAAAGGUCAACUCAUCUUCAUACAGCAAAAAAACAUUUUUCUCUAAGGGGGUUUGGAAGCAUCCAGAUAAUGAGAGCAAACAGCUCAGGCCAACAGGCCACCUCUCCACAGACAGCAACGGAUAAAGAGUAAAACCUUGUUGCAUAGAAGCAGGGAGUGAGGUUACCCCAGGUGACUCUGUGUCAGAGGCAGGCGGCCUCUUAGAGCACGUCAGCAUCACAACAACAUGGAACAAAAUACAGGCGCUCCAGCAACGGGUGGAUGAAUCAUCCCACACACUGCUGUGGGAUGGCGUCACAUUCUUCAACCGUUCGUGGAUGUGGUUGGGUUGGUCACUGUGGGAGGAACAGCAUCCUCCUGCAGAUCCUAGUGUUUAAUGAGGUCAGGACUGCUGGGAUGUCUUUUUGUUCAUCUCCAAUCCCAAAAUCUAGUCUCCGCUGAAGCAGCUCUGAGGGGUGAAGGAAAUGCUGGGCCAUACCAGCACACACCCUCCACCAAGAGAUGUGACUGUAUCAGUGAUCUUCUCCACAUGUCCACCUCAUGAUCCAACUACUUUUGGCAGAAUCUGGACUCAGUCCUGAACACAAUGUUCCUCCACACGUUCAGGUUCCAGUGCACGUGUUCCUGACACCAGCAGUGAAGGGCAAUCAUGGCAAGCCUCCUGGCAGCUCCAUGAAACCAGAGAUUAACUGUGUGCAGUCUGUUCCUGACUGGGCAGAGAGGCAUCUGCCACGUCACACACCAAGCCCUGACUGCAAAUUUUUAUAAGGGAACGGAUGAAACUUAAGAAAAAAGGUUUUGUUUUGCAGGUCUAACACCCACUGUUGUAUGAAACCAAACCCUCUGUGUGGAGAUGCUUCUAGAACUUUUACAUAGACCCUCUCCCGAUCAGUCAAACACGGCAUUCUAAGAGCUGAAACCCACUAACAUCUUCAACACUUUAGAAAAAAAAGAGCCUUUCGGAACAUCCAUUCAUCAAUGUCUCGCUUCCCUUUGUUCAGGGUCAGGGCAGGACUGAUGCCUUGCAGCUUGCAUCCAACUCUCACACUCCAGUCUGUUUACCACAGCAGUCAGGCCGGCAUUUGUGUUUUUGGACCAGUGGGGGGAAAGAAUUAUGUGGGGAAUUGAUGAACAUUUAUCUAAAAUGUUUUAACCAAAAAGAUAAAGUCAAAAGUUUACGACUGCAUUGCCAGCCAAAAGGAAUGCGAAGCAGAUCAGAGCAGUCCAUUUCACAAACAAGUAUCAUCGUUUCUUAAAGCUAAACGCGGGUUAAAUGGCAUCUAUGGAGUACAAAUGAAUGCUUAAGCCAAAUGGAAACAGAACUCCAGGAUUUCAUCUGUAUGAAGAAAACUUUAUCUGAUGUCUGUGACCAGAAAACAGACAAAAGUAAGAAUUUCAAGUUAAAACUGAAGGUCAAGUGAUUUUCAACGGGAUCAAGGGAUCUUAAAUUGUAUUGUGGCUCAAAAGUGCAAAACUAGUUUUAAAAACAUGAGAAAAUAAAAGCUAGACCCGGU